rnacentral:rRNA from 1 species
AUUGAACGCUGGCGGCAGGCCUAACACAUGCAAGUCGAGCGGAGCGGCGGACGGGUGAGUAAUGCCUAGGAAUCUGCCUGGUAGUGGGGGAUAACGUCCGGAAACGGAGCUAAUACCGCAUACUGUCAGAUUGGGCCAGGUCGGAUUAGCUAGGUGGUGGGGUAAAGGCCUACAAAGGAGACGAGACGGAACUGGUCUGAGAGGAUGAUCAGUCACACUGGAACUGAGACCCGGUCCAGACUCCUACGGGAGGCAGCAGUGGGGAAUAUUGGACAAUGGGCGAAAGCCUGAUCCAGCCAUGCCGCGUGUGUGAAGAAGGUCUUCGGAUUGUAAAGCACUUUAAGUUGGGAGGCGUUACCAACAGAAUAAGCACCGGCUAACUUCGUGCCAGCAGCCGCGGUAAUAC